UNGGAGAGGAAAGUGGAAUUCCUAGUGUAGCGGUGAAAUGCGUAGAUAUUAGGAAGANCACCAGUGGCGAAGGCGACUUUCUGGACGAAAACUGACGCUGAGGCGCGAAAGCCAGGGGAGCGAACGGGAUUAGAUACCCCGGUAGUCCUGNCCGUAAACGAUGGGUACUAGGUGCAGGAGGUAUCGACCCNUUCUGUGCCGGAGUUAACGCAAUAAGUACCCCGCCUGGGGAGUACGACCGCAAGGUUGAAACUCAAAGGAAUUGACGGGGGCCCGCACAAGCGGUGGAGUAUGUGGUUUAAUUCGACGCAACGCGAAGAACCUUACCAGGUCUUGACAUUGAUGGACAGAACUAGAGAUAGUUCCUCUUCUUCGGAAGCCAGAAAACAGGUGGUGUACGGUUGUCGUCAGCUCGUGUCGUGAGAUGUUGGGUUAAGUCCCGCAACGAGCGCAACCCCUAUCUUACGUUGCCAGCACUUUGGGUGGGGACUCAUGAGAGACUGCCGCAGACAAUGCGGAGGAAGGCGGGGAUGACGUCAAAUCAUCAUGCCCCUUAUGACCUGGGCUACACACGUACUACAAUGGGAGUUAAUAGACGGAAGCGAGAUCGCGAGAUGGAGCAAACCCGAGAAACACUCUCUCAGUUCGGAUCGUAGGCUGCAACUCGCCUACGUGAAGUCGGAAUCGCUAGUAAUCGCAGGUCAGCAUACUGCGGUGAAUACGUUCCCGGGCCUUGUACACACCGCCCGUCACACCACGAAAGUCGGAAGUGC
rnacentral:rRNA from 1 species